rfam:Simonsiella muelleri ATCC 29453 genomic scaffold supercont1.6, whole genome shotgun sequence.
GGCAAUGUAGCUCAGCUGGUUAGAGCGCACGACUCAUAAUCGUGAGGUCGGGAGUUCAAGUCUCCCCAUCGCCA